AUGAGAAAAAAGAAAUGGCCGGGGAAUCCCUGUUGCUCUUUCUGCAAACAGGUUGAAACGGUACAACACCUGUUCUUCAAUUGUCCCGUGGCGAGAAUUGUCUGGCGAUCGAUUGGGGUUGCUCUUGGUAUUGAUAGAUGUCCGUCGAAUUACUGGCAAUACUUUGUGUGGUGCAAUAAAUUCCUUCCUGGGAAGCAAAAGUUUUACAUAGUAGGUCUAGCGGCUGUGUGUUGGGCCAUUUGGUUGGCACGCAACCGAGCUACCUUUGAAAAAAAAACAUAUCAAGACUCCUUUUGA
rnacentral:rRNA from 1 species